UACGUAGGGGGCAAGCGUUGUCCGGAAUUAUUGGGCGUAAAGCGCGCGCAGGCGGUCUUUUAAGUCUGGUGUCUAAGUGCGGGGCUCAACCCCGUGAUGCACUGGAAACUGGGAGACUUGAGUGCAGAAGAGGAGAGCGGAAUCCACGUGUAGCGGUGAAAUGCGUAGAUAUCGUAAGGAAGACCAGUGGCGAAGGCGGGUCUCUGGACAGUUCCUGACGCUGAGGCACGAAGGCCAGGGGAGCAAACGGG
rnacentral:rRNA from 1 species